GGAUAACCUACCCUUAGGACUGGGAUAACCUUGGGAAACUGAGGCUAAUACCGGAUAAGCAAUUUUUCCUGGAAUGGUUUUUUGUUUAAAUGUUUUUUCGCCUAAGGAUGGGUCUGCGGCCGAUUAGGUAGUUGGUUAGGUAAUGGCUUACCAAGCCGUUGAUCGGUACGGGUUGUGAGAGCAAGAGCCCGGAGAUGGAACCUGAGACAAGGUUCCAGGCCCUACGGGGUGCAGCAGGCGCGAAACCUCCGCAAUGUGAGAAAUCGCGACGGGGGGAUCCCAAGUGCCAUUCUUAACGGGAUGGCUUUUCAUUAGUGUAAAGAGCUUUUGGAAUAAGAGCUGGGCAAGACCGGUGCCAGCCGCCGCGGUAACACCGGCAGCUCUAGUGGUGGCAAUUUUUAUUGGGCCUAAAGCGUCCGUAGCCGGUUUAAUAAGUCUCUGGUGAAAUCCUGUAGCUUAACUGUGGGAAUUGCUGGAGAUACUAUUAGACUUGAGACCGGGAGAGGUUAGAGGUACUCCCAGGGUAGAGGUGAAAUUCUGUAAUCCUGGGAGGACCGCCUGUUGCGAAGGCGUCUAACUGGAACGGUUCUGACGGUGAGGGACGAAAGUUAGGGGCGCGAACCGGAUUAGAUACCCGGGUAGUCCUAACUGUAAACGAUGCGGACUUGGUGUUGGGGUGGCUUUGAGCUGCUCCAGUGC
rnacentral:rRNA from 1 species